AUGGCGAGCAGCAGCAGCAGCCUGGCCGGUCUGCUGCUCACCGCCGUGCUGUGCCUGCAGCUGCCGGUCCACAGCCGCGCGCAGCUGCGCGUGGGGUUCUACAACACCACCUGCCCCAACGCCGAGGCCAUCGUCCGGCAGGCCGUCACGGCCGCCUUCGCCACCAACUCCGGCGUCGCCGCCGGCCUCAUCCGCCUCCACUUUCACGACUGCUUCGUCGAGGGCUGUGAUUCCUCGGUGCUCCUGUCCGUCAACCCCGGCGGAGGCACGCCGGAGCGUGACGCCGCGCCGAACAACCCGAGCCUGCGUGGCUUUGCGCUCGUCGACGCCGCCAGGGCCGCACUGGAGCAGAGCUGCCCGCGCACGGUGUCGUGCGCCGACAUCCUGGCCUUCGCCGCCCGGGACAGCGUGAACAUCACCGGCAGCAACGCCUUCUACCAGGUCCCUUCCGGCCGCCGCGACGGGAACCUCUCGACCGAGGCCGGCGCGUUCACCCUCCCGGGGCCGAACCUGACGGCGGACGGCCUCGUCAGCGGGUUCCGGGACAGGGGCCUCACCGCGGAGGACAUGGUGGUCCUGUCCGGCUCCCACACCCUGGGCCGCUCCCACUGCAACUCCUUCAUCGUGAGGAACCGGGAGCGGCUGGCGAGCGGCACGAUCAGCCCGGCGUACCAGGCGCUGCUGGAGGCGCUGUGCCCGGCGAACACGAGCCAGUUCACCAACGUGACGACGGAGAUCGACCUGAGCACGCCGGUGGUGCUGGACAACAACUACUACAAGCUGGUGCAGCUCAACCUGGGCCUGCACUUCUCCGACGACCAGCUCAUCCGCAACGCCACCCUCAAGGGCUUCGUGGACGCCUUCGCCGCCAACGAGACGCUGUGGAAGGAGAAGUUCAUCGCCGCCAUGAUCAAGAUGGGCAACAUCGCCCCCAAGACCGGCACGCAGGGGGAGAUCCGCCUCAACUGCAGCAUCGUCAACCCGUCCUCCUCUUCUUCGUCCGGUUACGCAGGGGUGAUCGAGAUGCUCCGCCGCCCGGGCUCCGACGAUAAGCUCGCCAUGGGCUGA
rnacentral:rRNA from 1 species